rnacentral:rRNA from 1 species
AUGAACGCUGGCGGCGUGCCUAAUACAUGCAAGUCGAGCGAACAGACGAGGAGCUUGCUCCUCUGACGUUAGCGGCGGACGGGUGAGUAACACGUGGAUAACCUACCUAUAAGACUGGGAUAACUUCGGGAAACCGGAGCUAAUACCGGAUAAUAUAUUGAACCGCAUGGUUCAAUAGUGAAAGACGGUUUGCUGUCACUUAUAGAUGGAUCCGCGCCGCAUUAGCUAGUUGGUAAGGUAACGGCUUACCAAGGCAACGAUGCGUAGCCG